AAAGAAAAAGAAAAAACAAGAUAGAAGAAAAGACAAAAGAAGUGGCAGACAAGUUAUGAAGAUAAGUGGAAGAAAAAGAAGACAAGUUAUGAAAAGUCCUAAAGUAAAUAGUGGAAAGAUAAAGUAAAGUCAAAUUUUUUGACUUAUUGUGUAAAUUAUUGUAAAGUAACGCAGUAAAGGACAAUGUAAAGAAAAGUAGAAUAGUAUAAAGAUAAAGCAAAGUAGAAUAGUAAGUAGACAAGUGU
rnacentral:lncRNA from 1 species